UUGGAGGGCAAGUCUGGUGCCAGCAGCCGCGGUAAUUCCAGCUCCAAUAGCGUAUAUUAGAGUUGUUGCAGUUAAAAAGCUCGUAGUUGAAUUUCGGGAUUGACGUGACGGUCAUGCCUUAAGGGGUAUGAACUGUUACUGUUGAUUUCUCACCUUCUGGAGAAACUUGAUGUCCUUUAUUGGGUGUCUUGCGGAUCCAGGACCUUUACCUUGAAAAAAUUAGAGUGUUUAAAGCAGGCAUUUUUGCUCGAAUACAUUAGCAUGGAAUAAUAGAAUAGGACGGCAUGGUUCUAUUCUGUUGGUUUCUAGGAUCACCGUAAUGAUUAAUAGGGAUAGUUGGGGGCAUUAGUAUUCAAUUGUCAGAGGUGAAAUUCUUGGAUUUAUUGAAGACUAACUACUGCGAAAGCAUUUGCCAAGGAUGUUUUCAUUAAUCAAGAACGAAAGUUAGGGGAUCGAAGACGAUCAGAUACCGUCGUAGUCUUAACCAUAAACUAUGCCGACUAGGAAUCAGACGAUGUUAAUUUUUUAAUGACUCGUUUGGCACCUUACGGGAAACCAAAGUGUUUGGGUUC
rnacentral:rRNA from 1 species